GGAAUGUACUGACCUGUAGGAUAUAAAUGCUAUGGGAAUCAGGCAUAAUUUAACAAUCGUCUUGCAAAUGGUUCUGGGGUAAAAGUUCUUUUUUUUCUUCUAAUUUUAAGACUGUUCUGAUAAAAAUAAUGUCUGUCUAAAUCUCUAGGUUCAUAUGCAUUUGGAGA